GUUGAACGCUGGCGGCAUGCUUUACACAUGCAAGUCGAACGGUAACAGGGUGCUUGCACCGCUGACGAGUGGCGAACGGGUGAGUAAUGCGUCGGAACGUGCCGAGUAGUGGGGGAUAACGCAUCGAAAGGUGUGCUAAUACCGCAUACGUACUGAGGUAGAAAGUGGGGGACCUUCGGGCCUCACGCUAUUCGAGCGGCCGACGUCUGAUUAGCUAGUUGGUGAGGUAAAGGCUCACCAAGGCGACGAUCAUUAGCGGGUCUGAGGGGAUGCUCCGACACACGGGGACUGAGACACGGCCCAGACUCCUACGGGGGGCAGCAGUGGGAAAUUUUGGACAAUGGGCGCAAGCCUGAUCCAGCCAUGCCGCGUGUCUGAAGAAGGCCUUCGGGUUGUAAAGGACUUUUGUCCGGGAGCAAAUGCCUGGUGUUAAUAGCACCGGGAGCUGAGAGUACCGGAAGAAUAAGCACCGGCUAACUACGUGCCAGCAGCCGCCGCGGUAA
rnacentral:rRNA from 1 species